GAUGAACGCUGACAGAAUGCUUAACACAUGCAAGUCAACUUGAAUUUGGGUUUUUAACUUAGGUUUGGGUGGCGGACGGGUGAGUAACGCGUAAAGAACUUGCCUCACAGCUAGGGACAACAUUUGGAAACGAAUGCUAAUACCUAAUAUUAUGAUAAUAGGGCAUCCUAUAAUUAUGAAAGCUAUAAGCGCUGUGAGAGAGCUUUGCGUCCCAUUAGCUAGUUGGAGAGGUAACGGCUCACCAAGGCGAUGAUGGGUAGCCGGUCUGAGAGGGUGAUCGGCCACAAGGGGACUGAGACACGGCCCUUACUCCUACGGGAGGCAGCAGUGGGGAAUAUUGGACAAUGGACCGAGAGUCUGAUCCAGCAAUUCUGUGUGCACGAUGAAGUUUUUCGGAAUGUAAAGUGCUUUCAGUUGGGAAGAAACAAAUGACGGUACCAACAGAAGAAGAGACGGCUAAAUACGUG
rnacentral:rRNA from 1 species